UUGCUUUCGCAGCACAUAUACUAAAAUUGGAACAAUACAGGGAAGGUUAGCAUGGUCUCCAGACCAGGAUGACAUGCAAACUUGUGAAGCAUUCCAUACUUUG
ensembl:snRNA U6 U6 spliceosomal RNA